CUGUACAGGAUUGAAAAAAAGAGAGAAGGAAAGUUGCUUCCUUCUAAUGUGCUCAUUUAUGCCAUUCAUACAAAAUUCCUGAGUUUGUUUAACUCCUUCAUUUUAUUUUUAUUUUUUAAUCACUUUUUUUUUUAAAGACAGGGUCUUGCUCUGUUGCCCAGGCUGGGGUGCAGUGGCAAGAUCUCCGCUCACUCUAACCUCUGCCCCCCGGGCUCAAACGAUCCUCCUGCCUCAGCCUGCAGGUAGCUGGAACUACAGGUGCCACCACACUGGGCUCACCUCCUUCAUUUUAGAGCUGAGGAAAUGGAAGUCCAAUAAAAGAGUGACUUGCCCAAAGAACCAGCAGGUGGUGGCAGGGCUACCCUGUGGUAGGGGUUGGGGGCAGAGGUAGAAUCCAGGUCUCCAGGCUCUUUCCUCUCUCAGGAAGAAGGUGAGGGUGAGUGUGCCCGGCGCUGGCCUCAGCACCACACAGCUUAUCUCCAUUUUACAGGGAGAGGGAAGAACUCUUACAAGGUUCCACAAGCAGCCGGUAUCGGCAUGGAUGAGACCCCCUCAGGUUGGAUAAGUUCGCAGGAGAGACAAUUUCCCAUGGGCUGGGAGAGACGGUUGUUUCUUGGAAGAGAUGGCCCCAAAGGGUGGACAGGAAGGGAUAGAGAGAGAGAAACAGAGAGAGGAGAGGGAGAGAGAGAGAGAGAGAGGACACACAGAGAGAGUUAAAGAUCAAUAAACAGCGGGGAAAGGUGUGAAGUGACAACUGAGCCCUUCCACAGACUCUCUCCCUAGUUCGACUGCCCCCCACCCCCACCCCCAAGGGACCCACUCGACGCUGCCCGCGCAUGCCCCAACCCGUUCGUGCCCCCGCCUGGCCGCGUGCAGUCUCGCGGAUGCGUCAGGCCACGAGUGCGCCACUGCUCGCCCCGCGCUGCGUCCCAGCAGACCUGCGCGCCUCUCCUCUGCCCCGGUCUGCGCCCUCAACCCCGCGCUUCCGCUAUAUUCCGGAGGAAUCUGAAAUCAGAUUCAGAUGUGAAGCGCGGUUUCGGAUCCUCUUUCGCUUCUCUAUCUCGAGAAACUUGAAACUGCGUCCUCUAGGAUUGCAUCAAACUGCAUCUUGAGCGUGGAGGAGGACUGCUGAGCCCCACGGGUUCGCCGGGCUGGAGAGGUCUUGCGCAACCUGAGGGUUGGGGAGAGAGGGGUGUUAGCGGAGGGAAUGGGCCCUGACGGCCCUAGAAGCUUCCCCGAGCGCCUCCCACCUCCAGCGGACUUGCUGUUAAAAACGCAAUUAAUGCGUCCUGUGAGUCAGAAUAAGGAUGACUACUUAUGGAAGAGGAAGGAGUGACUGGGGUGGGGCGCGUGGAGAGACUUCUGCUGUGGCUGGCAAAGUUCUUUUUCUUGGUCUCGGAGGCAGUUCACUUUGUAGUAAUUAGUUAAGCCGUACAUCAGAACCAUUGGAUUCUGUAUCCGGGUUUUAUUUUUACAAUAAAAAUACGUUUAAAAUAAUCAGUUACAGUUAUAAAACUGAAAUUCUUCCCAUUCUAAUUUUCUUUCUCUUUUUCUUCCUUCUUUCUUUCUCUCCUCCUCCUCCUUUUUCUUCUUUUGUUGUUGUUGUUUUGUUUUUUAUUUUUUAUUUAUUUAUUUGAGACAAGAGUUUUGCUGUUGCCCACGCUGGAACACAGUGGCACGAUCUGGCUCACUGCAGCCUUGACCUCCUGGGCUCAAGCGAUCCUCCCUCCUCAGCUUCCCGAAUAGCUAGGAUCAUAGGCGUGGACCAUCACACCCGGCUAAUAUUUUUUAUUAUUUAUGUAGAGACAGGGUCUCGCCAUGUUGCCCAGGCUGGUCCUGAACUACUGGGCUCAAACGAUCCUCCUACCUCAGUCUCCUAAAGGGUUGAGAUUACACGUGUGAGCCACUUUGCCCGCCUGAGCAGCUUUUUAAGUCAGGCAUUGAGUCAGUAUCUCUGGGGACUGAGAAGAGGUAUAUAUUUUUAAAGUUCCUCCAGUUUUUCAAAAGGGCAGCCAGGAUUGAGAAACACUGGGCUAUCAUGGUGGGAUUCCAUAUUAAGAUUUUGAAAGCCACAGGCCUUGAAGAAGGAAGCAGAGGCUCCCAGAAGCCCAGGUGGAUGCUCUGCCUGAGCCCUCCCAGCAGGCGAGGUGCAAAGCUGGCCUGGAGCAGGAACUCCCACUGCCCACGCCAGGGCUCUGCCCUCAGACCACCCUGAGUGUGCCUCCUUCAUGCAAAUUUCUCUGUCUUCAGAUUGGAGAUCAUGGGGGUAGAGAAGCUCCAAGUAACUUUCCUCCUCCUUGGCCUGCC
rnacentral:lncRNA from 10 species